UGGUGAUGGGAAAUCAUCUGGAAAAUACGGUGGUCUUGGUGCCAGUAUGGGAGGGGAUCCUGCACCUGCAAAAUACGGAUAUGGUGGCCUCCCAAAUGGCGGGCAACUUCUUGGUCUUGGCAAUAAUGGAAAUGCAC